rnacentral:tRNA from 1 species
GCGGCUGUGGCGGAAUUGGCAGACGCGCUAGAUUCAGGUUCUAGUGGCCGCAAGGUCGUGGAGGUUCAAGUCCUCUCAGCCGCAC